UACGGAGGGUGCAAGCGUGUCCGGAUUUAUUGGGUUUAAAGGGUGCGUAGGCGGCCCUGUAAGUCAGUGGUGAAAUACUGCAGCUUAACUGUAGCAUUGCCAUUGAUACUGUAGGGCUUGAGUACAGAUGAGGUAGGCGGAAUUGAUGGUGUAGCGGUGAAAUGCGCAGAUAUCAGGAGGAACACCGGUGGCGAAGGCGGGUCUCUGGGCCGAUACUGACGUGAGGAGCGAAAGCGUGGGGAGCGAAC
rnacentral:rRNA from 1 species